rnacentral:rRNA from 1 species
UGAGGAAUAUUGGUCAAUGGACGAGAGUCUGGACCAGCCAUGCCGCGUGAAGGAUGAAGGCGUUCUGCGUUGUAAACUUCUUUUGCGGGGGAAGAAACCUUGAUAUUCUUAUCAAGCCGACGGUACCCCGAGAAUAAGCACCGGCUAACUCCGUGCCAGCAGCCGCGGUAAUACGGAGGGUGCAAGCGUUAUCCGGAUUUACUGGGUUUAAAGGGUGUGUAGGCGGAUUAUUAAGUCAGCGGUGAAAUCUCCAGGCUCAACCUGGAAACUGCCAUUGAUACUAUUAGUCUUGAAUAUUGUUGAGGUGGGCGGAACGGGUCAUGUAGCGGUGAAAUGCAUAGAUAUGACCCGGGACACCGAUUGCGAAGGCAGCCCACUAAGCAAUGAUUGACGCUGAGGCACGAAAGCGUGGGGAUCAAACA